CACGUAGGGAGCAAGCGUUGUCCGGAUUUAUUGGGCGUAAAGAGCUCGUAGGCUGUUCGAUAAGUCGGGUGUGAAACCUCCAGGCUCAACCUGGAGACGCCACCCGAUACUGUCAUGACUAGAGUCCGGUAGGGGAGCGUGGAAUUCCUGGUGUAGCGGUGAAAUGCGCAGAUAUCAGGAGGAACACCGGUGGCGAAGGCGGGUCUCUGGGCCGUAACUGACGCUGAGGAGCGAAAGCAUGGGGAGCGAACAGG
rnacentral:rRNA from 1 species